AGCAUUGAUUCAGCAUAAAAUUAAAGUAAAGUGAAUGAACGUAAACCCUUGACUACUACUCUAGUGACAUAACUUAUUGAUAGUACACGGGAAUAAAUUUAACUCUGUAUUUGAGAAAAAAAUAUCAACCCCACAAUCCCGGUGACUAUAUAAUUAAUUAAAAUAAUAAUUAUUAUUAUUGUCUAUUAGUACAAAAGCUUUAUGCGGAAAAGUAAUAUUCCACUAUAAGCUUUCAUUGAUGAAAUGCUUAGCCUUCAAUAUUCAGCAAGUAUUUUGUUGCGUAGGCGUUCUUUAACGAUCGAUGAGUUACCCGGGUGAGCUGACUAGUUUAGUCGAGCUCCGUUGCUAAUAAUAAUAUUUUAUUAAUGUUUAUAAUCUACAAUAAUUCCCAAUACAUAUUUAAAAAAUUAAUAUUGAUUUUAUAUAGUUAUUUAUCUCCGGUUUAUUUUUUUAAUAGAUAAUAAUAAACAAGUUGAAAAAAUAAAAAAGCGUCAUGUUUGACUUGUUAUUAAUUCAUGACCACGACUCUUAUCUAACAUAUAUAGUGUUAUGUGUGACCUUGGUACCAGGGGUCUACGAUCGAUCAGAAAAGCUCUUAUUCUAGAUGUCAAGCGGCAUUACUUGUACAUCUCUUGUAGACUAAAAUGUUGUCGUUUCUUAACAUUGGCUGUUAUUUUUGAAUACCAAUUGGUAAAUAAAUUUGAUGAAGUUGGACUGGACGUCGGUGAUGAGGAUUGAAUGGCAUUAGGCGAAAGUUUUGUAAUAUUAACUGCACCACUAGCACCACCAGCGGGUUCACUAGUCUGUCUUUUAAAAAGCAUAUUGCACAAUUCA